rnacentral:rRNA from 1 species
AUUGAACGCUGGCGGCAUGCUUUACACAUGCAAGUCGAACGGUAACAGGCCGCAAGGUGCUGACGAGUGGCGAACGGGUGAGUAAUGCAUCGGAACGUGCCCAGUCGUGGGGGAUAACGCAGCGAAAGCUGCGCUAAUACCGCAUACGAUCUCUGGAUGAAAGCGGGGGACCGAAAGGCCUCGCGCGAUUGGAGCGGCCGAUGUCAGAUUAGGUAGUUGGUGGGGUAAAGGCCCACCAGGCCAACGAUCUGUAGCUGGUCUGAGAGGACGACCAGCCACACUGGGACUGAGACACGGCCCAGACUCCUACGGGAGGCAGCAGUGGGGAAUUUUGGACAAUGGGCGCAAGCCUGAUCCAGCAAUGCCGCGUGCAGGAAGAAGGCCUUCGGGUUGUAAACUGCUUUUGUACGGAACGAAACGAUCCGGGUUAAUACCCUGGGCUAAUGACGGUACCGUAAGAAUAAGCACCGGCUAACUACGUGCCAGCCGCCGCUGUAACAC